rnacentral:lncRNA from 1 species
GUGAUCAGUAUCUUUAUGCAUACUUCUUUGCACAUUGUUGGGUUGUUUCCUUCAUGUAGAUGCUUAGGUGUAAAAUUGUUGGGUCAAGGUGUAUGUAUAUUUUAAAAUAUUUGAUCUGCUUUGCCACAUUGCCCUCUACAGCAGUUGAUUGUAUUUUUACAAAUACGAUCUGAAGAUGACCUUGUUUUCAAUCCUGUCUUCAAAGACUUGGUCAACCUUACCUAUGGAAGAUUCAGUCACCAAAAUGGAUGGGACUCUACAGACAAACGGAUAUUUGAGUAUGGAAUGGUACGGACUGGUAGAAACCAUCACUACCCUGCCCAGUUCAAGAAUCUGAAAUUGAGCAUGAAAAGAUCUUUGAAAGUAGAAUUUUCUGUCCUGAUAAAUAGUUACUCAAAUGUGAAGGCAUAAUAAACAUGUUCUCAGACUUUGAAAACUUCAGAAAAUUUUUCACACAAAGAUGCAAGUUAAAAGCACUUAAAAAAAGAAAAAAAAAAAAACUUUUGGAAAAAGUACCUAAGGAUGAAGAUAAACAAAUCCAAGGGAUGCUACAAGAUAUUUGGGCGAUAAAAAGAGAUACUUAUGAGGUUUGUUGAUGACUUUAAAAGAAUAAAAAGUAAGGCUAAAGAAAAUAAAGUAUAUGCACAACAAUGUAGAAUUAAAAUUCUUUACAGCAUCAAUAUAGUGGGAGUGAGAGGAAACCAGAGAUCUUGAGGGUAAAGUUCCUAUCUUGUUAGAAGGAAGAGAAACAUACUAAUUAAAUAGGAAAGAAAAAAGAAAAAAAGACCAACUAAAGAAAUGAAUAGAGUGGUAGGGAAAUAAUAUAUUUAUACACAAAGCAUAAGGACAUGGAAAGGUUGAAAUAAAAGCAUGGAAAAAAGAUAGGAAAAUACUAAAAGAAAGCUAGUGUGGUUAUGCUAUUAUCCAACAAAACAGACAUUAAAAUAAAAGCAUUAUUAAGGAUAGAGAUAGGUGAUAUAUAGUGCUAAAAUUUGAGUUCAAAACUUAGUAAGAAAACCAAUAGUAAUAGAAAUAAUUGAAGAAACUUAAAAAUACUAGGGUGACUAAUACCAAACUUGAAAUAUAUAAAGAACUCCUACAACUCAGCACUAAAAAGCUAAUGAUCUGAUUAAAAAUGGGCACACGUCCAAAAUAGACAUUUUUCCAAAAGAAGCCAUAAGGAUAGACACACGAAAAGGUGUUCAAUGUCCCUAAUCAUCGGGGAAAUGCAAAUCAAAACCACAGUGAGAUAGCACUUUACACCGGGCAGAAUGUCUAGUAUCAAAAAGACAAGAAAUCAUGAGUGUUGACGUGGAUGUGGAGAAAGGAAAACCUCAUGUACUCUUGGUGGGAAUGUGAAUUGGUGGAGUCACUAUGAAAAACAAUAUAGAGAGGUACCUCAAAAAAUGAAAAAUAGAAUAUCAUUCAGUUCAGUAAUGCCACCACUGCUGGGUAUUUACCCAAAAUAAAUGAAAACACCAAUUCAAAAAGAUAUAUGCACCCCUAUGUUUAUUGCAGCAUUAUUUACAGUAGCCAAGAUAUAUCCUAAGUGUCCAUCAGUAGACAAAUGGAUAAAGAAGAUAUGGUAUAAUGAUACAUUACUCAGCCAUAAAAAGAAUGAAAUCUUGCUAUUUGCAACAAUUUGGAUGGAGCUGGAGAGUAUCAUGCUAAAUGAAAUAAGUCCGAGAAAGACAAAUAUUGUAUGAUUUCACUUAAACGUGGAAUCGACAAAAACAAAUGAAUAAACAGAAACAGACUCAAACACGGAGAAUAAACUGGUGGUUGCUAGAGAGGAGGGGAGUGGGCUUCCAGCAAAAUGUGAAGGGGAUUAAGAUAAAUCAUGGGGAUGAAAAGUAUAUCAUAGAGAAUAUAGUAAUAUACAAUAAUAUUCUAGUAAUAUUAUUACAAUAAUAAUUAUACAAUAAUAAUAUUGUAGUAACUUUGGUGACUGAUAGUAGCCAUACUUCAUGUGGGGAGUAUUGAAUAAUACUAUGAAAUUGUCAAAUUGCUAUGUUGUACACCUAUAAUGUAAGUCAUAUAUAUAUAUACAUAUAUAUAUAUGUCACAUAUAUGUUAUAUAUACUUCAAUUGAAGAGAAAGUGUAGAGAAAGUAGUGCUUCAAGGAAAAUUUUUUAGCUUUAAAUCUUUAUAUGUAUAUGUAUAUAUAUAUAUAUAUAUUUUUUUUUUUUAAAUGAGCUAGUGUUCAAUUGAAGUUACAGAAGGACAAGAUAAAGCUAAAGCAAGAGAUAAGAACAGAAAUAGAAAAUAGAAUAGAAAUAGGAUCAACAAAGUCAUAUGUUGACUGAAAAGAUGAACAAAAUGGACAAAAAUUUCCGGUAAGUUUAUUAUGGAGAAAAAGAAAAUGCACAAAUAACCCAUAUCAGGAAUAAAAAAGGUUAUGUCACUAUCAAUACUGCAGAUUUUAAACAGCUGAAUAUUGUGAACAACAUGCCGAUAUGUUUGAAAAUUUAGGCAAAAGGGCAAAAUUCUAGAAAAUGUUGUCUAGAGAAAGAAAUCAGAAACCUGAACAGUGCCAUUACUAUUCAAGGAAAGGAAGUAGUUUAAAAUCUCACAAAUAAAACUCUAGGCAUAGAUGAUUUUAACAAACUUUAAAGAGUUAAGAGUUAUUCUAAUCAGAUACAUUUUUCCGGGAAUAGGAUUAGUAUGUCUUGCACAUCAAAAACCAAUAUAAUCUUGAUAGUAAAACCAGAUUGGGAAGUUGAUACAAGAAAGGAAAAUUAUAGAUCCAUUUUGUCAUGAAGAUAUCUGCAAAAGCAAACACUGUAACACACUGAGUGGCAUUUACGCCAGGAAUGCAAAAAUGGUGUAUUAGAAAAUUUAUAAAUGGAAUUCACAUUUAUAGAAUAAAAGUGAAAAACUGCCUGCCUGAUCAAUAGAUGCAAAAAAACAUUUAAUGUUUUCAGCUUGAUGAAGGAUAUCUUUAAAAAUCUUACAGUAAACACCAUCCUAAGGUGGGAAACAGUAGAAGCAUUUUCUUUAAAAUCAACACUGGGACCAAAAUUAUUGCUCUCUUCACUUUUAUCCAAAAUUGUACUGUAACUGUGUUCGUGCAACAAGAUGAGAAAAAUAAAGUUACAGUGAUUGGGAAGAGACUGUCAUUGUGAUGUGAUUGUCUACAUAGAAAAUCAAAAGUCUUCCACCAAUUCGACAUAAUUGGAGAGUUUAGCAAAUGCCUAAAUAUAGGAUCAAUGUCUAAUUGUGAAUUAUACUUAUAUACAGCCACAGUUAGAAAAUAAGAGUUUGAAAAAGACAGCAAAUAAGGGGCACCUGGAUGGCUCAGUUGGUUAAGCAUCUGAUUCUUGGUUUCAGCCCAGGUCAUGAUCUCACGGUUUGUGAGUUCGAGCCCUGUGUCAGGCUCCACACUGAGCAUUGCAGAGCUUGCUUGAGCUUCUCUCUCUCGGCCUCUCUCUCACUCACGUGUGCUCACUCAAAAUAAAUAAACUUUAAACAACAAAUAAUUGCAAAAACAAUUCUGAUGUAUCUAGUAAUAAAGCUAACCAAAAAUGUGCCAGAUCUGUGUACAGAGAGUUCUAAAAGACGUUAAAGAAGACUAGAGUGCCCUGUGUUCAUUAGAAGGACAAUUAGAAAAUCUUUUCAAAUGAAUGUAUGGAUUUAUUAGUGCAUCUCCAAACUAAAUCCCAACAUUUCUGCUGGAACUGACAAAGUGUUCAAAAUUUACAUGGCAGAUUUAAGGAUGAAUAAUGACCAAGACACUUCUGAAGAACAAGAAAGGAAGGAAACUUCAUCCUACUAGAAGGACUUUUUAUGAGGUUGAAGUGUUUAAGAAAGUCUUACUGUGCAAAAAUAGAGAAAAUGACCAAUGGAUAGAAUAGAGAGCCCCAAAACAGGCCCACACGUAUUUGUAAAUUUCAUAUUGACAUAGAUGGUAUGGUAGGUCAGUGACAGGACUAAUAAUUAAAUGGAGCUGACAAAAACAAACAAACGUACAAGAUUGGAUCUUUUCCUCAUACCAUACACACACACAAAACAACUGUUUAAAUGUCCCAAAACUUUAGAACUUCUGAUGUAGAAAAUCUAGUUAAAAUUGUAGGUGAAAUAUAUUUUGAAAAUACAGAGGGAUACCUUCCUGAUCCUGCUUCUAAGAACUUCGUAAACUGCAGGCAAAAGAAACCAUAAAAGAGAACCGUAAAAAAGUGUGCUACUUAUAAAUUGUUAAUUUAAAACUUCUGUCCCUCAAAAGGCAUUUUAAAGACAAGCUACAAGCUAUGAGAAGAUAUUCGCAAAACUCAUAACCAAUAAUAGGUUAGCAUCAAGAAUAUAUACAGAAAUUAUACAAACCAACAACGAAAAAAACAAACACUAGCAGAAAAAUGGGCAAAUGACUGAAACAGGUACUCCACGAGUUGGCAGUGCAGUAAACCUAUUAAAUGGUUUUCAUUUAUUAAUAUUCCGGGAAAGCAAAUCAAGAGUGCAGUAACAGGUUUACAUUCAUUCAACUGGCAAAAAGUCCAGCAAAGCCAAAUGUUGCAGAGAAUUUCAAUAGGAUUACUCCUAUAUUGCUGGUGAAAGUGUCAAUUGGUAUAACUAUUGUGAAAAACCAUUCAUUUGAGAACUUGAACCUUCCCCAUGGCCCACCACUCAAUUUGUAGGCAUAUACACAAGAGAAAUACUUGCACAAAGUGCCCCAGAAUACAAAUAUAAGAAUGUUUUAGAAGAAACCCGAUGUCCAUCUAAUAAAGUGUGCUCACAUAGUGGACAGUCACAUGGCAGGCAAGAUGAAUGAACGUCAGCUGCAGGCAGCACAGCAACUUAAUGUAAUGGAUUGAGUGAAAAAGCAAAAUGCUCAGAAGACAACAUGACCUAAUGCUUUUCUCAUAAAGUUCAAAAACUAAAACUGAACGAAACUAAAAAAAGUCCAAAUAGUGAUAAACCCAGAGUUCAGGAUAGCGUUACCUCUGGUAUGGAGGAGGAAAAGGGAGAGAACCGGGGGACUAAAUAUAAGAGUAAGUCAUUGUAAACGUUCUCGUCCCUGGGUUGGAUGAUGGGUUCAUUUGUUAUUAAGAGUAAAUAUGUGGAUGGAGAGAAUCAUGCAUAGACCACUGAUAGUGUGUUACGAACCAAGAGUUAACGAUGAAUCCAAUUAUAUGCUCCUGCAUUCAGAAACAAAAAACAGGACCUGUUGAUGAGUUGGAUUUGGGACAGAGGGAAGAAGAGAAAUCAGGUCUGAAUCCUAGGCUUUUGGCUUGAGCUGUUACUGCAAUUUAUUGAUAUAGAGAUAUCUGGGGUAGGUUCAAAUUAUGUGUGCAUGAAAUGGAGACAAGAACGCCUUUUGUGACUCAUCGAGAUGCCCAUGAAGCAUCAAAGUGGAGAAUUAAGUUGGUAUCAAUACACAAGUCUAAAUUCAAUGAUAAGGUCAAGGUAGGCCAUACAUUUGGGAGUAGUUGGCCAUAGGAUUAGAUAGGCACUUAAGGGAUAUGGAGAAGUAUGGCACUGGGCCCUGUGUUACCGUGACAGGGAGAGAAAAAUCCUGAGAAGACAGGAGCUAGCAGAAAUGGCAAGGCAAAGGGGAUGGAAUAAUUUGUGUGUUGAUUAACUUUGGCUCUGGAGAGUAUAUCUGGACAGAAUUUAAUUGCCUAGAUUUCCAACUCUAAAAAAGACGAAAAGACUUUUUGAUAAGUUUCUAUAAAUAGGUUCAGAGCUGAGGAGAGAGCCUGGCCUCAUGGAGAGAAGUUGGAUUAGGAGUCACUCAGGAGACCUUCGUUCUUCAGGCUUGGCUCCCAAAGCUGAUCAGUUAGGCAGGUCACCACUCCCUCUGGUCUUCUCAAUAAAGGCUAAACCAGGUGUCCUCUGUUGUGUUUCCAGCUCUAGGACAAUCCACAACCUUUGACUCAUCGUUUACACUGGAAGAACAGAACAGAGAUUUGGUUUCCGAGCAUUGGAUCUCAGCCCUUAACUUGCCACCACCCACCUACCUACUUAGCACCACCACCAUAUGAAUUCUGUGUUUUUA